AGGAUACAAAGGAUGGGGGAUAUGAUAUACCAUGGUACAAGGGGUGAAAGAUAUAAUGUACCAGGAUACAAAGGAUGGGGGAUAUAAUAUACCAUGGUACAAGGCGUGAAAGAUAUAAUGUACCAGGAUACAAAGGAUGGGGGAUAUAAUAUACCAUGGUACAAGGGGUGAAAGAUAUAAUGUACCAGGAUACAAAGGAUGGGG